UAGUUGAUAUUAAGUUGAAGGAUCACUUCUAUAGUAUGACAGCUAAGUUCCCUGACCGAAACUUGGAGUGACCUCACGCCACGAUGACGAGGCUAAGUGUCCGGCCCUGAGCGGGAAGCUGCCCCGUGGCCUGGCCAGGGGCUUGAGGACCGUCCACCACCCGUUCGCGGGGCGUGGCGGGCCGAGCACAGGCUGAGUGGU